rnacentral:lncRNA from 1 species
CUGGUUGGCUUGGUGUGAACAUAAUUGUAUAAACUUUUCAAAGAGCACGGUCUUGUUUUGUUAAAUUGAGCUGUGUUAACACUGACAGCUUUUCAUUUUUUUUUGCUCAUUUCUCUCUCGAGGUGAGAUGUUGUUUCAUCGCCCUGACCUGUAACGAUGUUAAUGCAAUCAUGACUAAUUCUGACAGGCACUCAAAAUGGUUUGGUGUUACAAGUGAAAUUUAGUUUUGCUUUCAUGGUCGUGUCCCCACAGAGCGGAGCUACUGAAACGGGCAAGCCUGUUGAUUUGAUUGACGCAAGAGAAACAACAGCAAAAUCAGGGGAGGAAUUAAAUUGGCUGAAAUUGUUAAUUGUGUGUGUGUGUGUGUGUGUGUGUGUGUGUGUGUGUGUGUGUGUGUGUGUGUGUGUGUGUGUGUGUGUGUGUGUGUGUGUGUGUGUGUGCACGCAUAAUAGUAAAUGUGCAAAUGUGAGGGUUUGUAUUAAGGCUCAUUCUCUGUGGGUACAGUAACUGUCUGUUUUCUUCUAGAAGGGCCUUUGAGCAGCAUCUCCUCAGUUUUAAAUGAGAUUCAUUAUCAUGCCAAAAUGUCACGCCUGUUUGCUUCAAACUAUGCAACAGAAUUCUCCUAUUAGAAUAUGGUUGAUUUAUUUCCUCAAUUCUCCUCUCAACACACUAUCUCCUUCUCUCGCUCACUCUCUCUUUCUCUGUCUAUGCGUGCUUGUCUAUGUCUCAAUGGAUCCAGUUGUUUCCCAUAUUUGAGUUCUUUCUACUAACAGAAACAGAAGUGUAUAAUGUUUGUAUGUAUGUGUGUACACGAUCUGCAAGCACCCUGAGUUGUUCUUUACUCUGUUGUAAUAAUGAUCAUGUUGAAUGCCUUGGUCUUUAUGUCCUGUAGUUUGAAUUUAACAGAACAAAAAAUGAUAAUCAAGCAAGAAAGUUAUUAUAAAUAUAUAUAUAUAAAUAUAUACAAAUCUAUAUACAUAAAAUAAAGCCAUUGGGAUUUGAAAUA